AGCUCCAAUAGCGUAUAUUAAAGUUGUUGCGGUUAAAAAGCUCGUAGUUGGAUUUCUGCCGAGGACGACCGGUCCGCCCUCCGGGUGAGCAUCUGGUUCGGCCUUGACAUCUUCUUGGUGAACGUAGCUGCACUUGACUGUGUGGUGCGGUACCCAGGACUUUUACUUUGAGGAAAUUAGAGUGUUUCAAGCAGGCAUACGCCUUGAAUACAUUAGCAUGGAAUAAUAUUAUAGGACCUUGGUUCUAUUUUGUUGGUUCCUAGAGCUAAGGUAAUGAUUAAUAGGGACGAUUGGGGGCAUUCGUAUUGUCACGUCAGAGGUGGAAUUCUUGGAUUGUGUUAAGACGAACUAGUGCGAAAGCAUUUGCCAAGGAUGUUUUCA
rnacentral:rRNA from 1 species